UCAACCUAAAGAGAUGGACAAGAAAUGAGAUAAAAAAAUGAUGAAAUAACAAUUUCUAUUCGACGUAAACGGGAUUAUAUUCAUAUUAGAUAAAAAAAGAUCGGUAAUUGUUGGGACAUAAAGACGAACAAGAAAACGGGGACAAUUAAGAAGCGUUAACAAUGAUGAACGUGUGAGGAUAACAAUGAUGGGUCAGUUUUGUUGGUUUAAUCUUCAAAGAUAAAAAGUAAAUUAACAUAUUUUAGUUUCAAAGGACUCGGUCGAUUUGCCAUUAAUGCUGAUUGUCUUCAAGUGAGAAAUACAAUUUUUUAUAUGAAAAGUGUACCUGUUAGCCUCAAGUAAAUGAGGUGAAAGGUACUUGGGAGUGAGAUAAUAAAAAGAACAGGCAAAAAAGUAACAGUAAUAACAAUUUGAUCUUAAUUUUUACUGUUCACGGAUUCGUAAUCAAAACUGAAUUAAGCACCAAUCUAGAGGUCAUUAUGACUUAUAUAUAUUACCAACGCUCACCAGAUUAAAACUUUGUUUUCUGGUACAAAUUGGUUUCCUUUAAUUGUUAAUCAAGUGGACUACUGGAUUGAUUACACACUGAGAGAUUGCUUGAGAUUAAUGAAAACCUUGAUUUCCGUCAGAUUAGGAUUAGGAUAAUCAAUUCUGAUCCAAUUCUCUCCAAUUACUGGAUGAUCAUUAAAGCCGGAAAUUAAUUGUUGAUCAGACAAUUGAAAACUAAACUUAUAUACACACACACUAGUACUAUGUGUGUGUACCUUGAAAGGAAAAGGAAAACCACAAAAGAAAUUAAAAUGAAAGUUACAAAUGGAAAUUGUUAAAUUACCGCCAACAAUUAGCCAAACAAAUGAGAAGGAGAAAAAGUUUUACAAAAAGAUUAUCUAAUUGUAAAAACAAUUAAUCGUCAAUCAAUUCUGGUUAAAUUGAGAAAACAAAAAGAUUGAACAAUUAAUACUCAGUCAAUUUUUGUGUACAGUUAAUUGUGAAAGGAAAAAAGUUUAAUUGUAAAACAUUAACUUUAUCCUUAUAUAAAUAUUGUAAUUAGAUUUGGUGUAUAUUAAUAUUCAUGUAAUGAUGAUUGUAAUUUUUUUCUUGUUAAUCAUCAUUAUUAAUAUUAAUUCAUCGUUGUUAAUCAAUGUAAUUGCAACCUGAAGGUCAGAUUGUUAAUCUUUUCGUUAUCCCAACGAUGGAUUCUGAUGAUGAUUAGAAACAUGAUAAACCUGUAUCAAUAUAUUAAUUAUAUUAUUAUGUUGUUGUUAUCGUUAA